UAUACUACCUCAGCUUGGGAAUCAUGGCUACCAUCUCAGCUUGGGGGUCAUGGAUGCCACCUCAGCUCAGGAGUCAUGGAUACCACCUCAGCUCAGGAGUCAUGGAUACCACCUCAGCUCCAGAGUCAUGAGUACCAUCUCAGCUCAAGAGUCACAGGCAUGACUCUGAGGACUUUUCAUCCAUGAACUUAUUUAAUGGUGCAGUAAUUAUGGUGAAUUGUGCACAGAACAUUGCACAGAUGAGAAGCGGGAGCCUGGAGGGAGACGGCUGCAAAGAUCAGAUGCACGAGGAUUGUGCGUUACUGGGAAGGUUCCAGGAUGUAUAGAGGGGAAUCCCACAUCAGCACCCUUCACUGGCCUGCCGGAAACAGCUUACUUGUGGCUCCUGUAGUAAUGGUGUGUCUGCUCUCACCUGAGAGGGACAAAGCACUCUAGAGAAUUGGCCUCCUUUCAGUCCAAAAGGAUGAGGAGCUUUGCUCAUUUUGUAUUUGUUACUGCUUUGGAAGCAAAGUAAAAUUUUUCUAUUUACUUAAUAAGUACUUAAGACAAGGUUUCUCAGACAGCCACAUGCCCAAUUCACAGCCAAUAUAUUAAUUUUUCUUUUUUCUUUGUACUUGUUUUUACUUUACUGAAUGUUUCUGUCCUCUGCAUUGUCACCUUCUAUAGAAGUAACA